rnacentral:rRNA from 1 species
AAUGAACGUUGGCGGCGUGGAUUAGGCAUGCAAGUCGAGCGGUAGGGAACUGCUCACUUCAAGCUGUUUGGCUAAUAGCUAAAAGCUAGUAGCUAACAGCUUCGAAGUGAGCAGUUCCUGAGAGCGGCGAAAGGGAGAGUAACGCGUAGUUACGUGCCCCGAGGACGGAAUAGCCACGGGAAACGUGUGGGUAAUGCCGGAUGUUGUCUUCGG